GUGCCAGCAGCCGCGGUAAUACCGGCAGCCCGAGUGAUGGCCGAUCUUAUUGGGCCUAAAGCGUCCGUAGCUGGCCGACCAAGUCUCCCGGGAAAUCCACCCGCCCAACGGGUGGGCGUCCGGUAGAAACUGGCCGGCUUGGAACCGGAAGGCUCAGAGAGUACGUCCGGGGUAGGAGUGAAAUCCUGUAAUCCCGUCCGGACCACCGAUGGCGAAAGCACUUCGAGAAAACGGAUCCGACAGUGAGGGACGAAAGCUAAGAUCGCGAACCGGAUUAGAUACCCUAGUAGUCC
rnacentral:rRNA from 1 species